GACAGAGGGUGCAAACGUUGCUCGGAAUCACUGGGCGUAAAGGGCGUGUAGGCGGGUAGAUAAGUCGGGCGUGAAAUCCCUAGGCUCAACCUAGGGACUGCACUCGAAACUGUUUAUCUUGAGUGCCGGAGAGGAAAGCGGAAUUCCUGGUGUAGAGGUGAAAUUCGUAGAUAUCAGGAGGAACACCAGUGGCGAAGGCGGCUUUCUGGACGGUAACUGACGCUGAGACGCGAAAGCGUGGGGAGCAAACAGG
rnacentral:rRNA from 1 species